UGGCUUGAAUUGCAGAACUCCGUGAACCAAUGGCCUCUUGAACGUGCAUUGCGCUCUUGGGAUAUGCCUGAGAGCAUGUCUGCUUCAGUGCUUCUACUUUCAUUUUCUGCUGCUCUUGUUAUCGGGAGCAGUGUUGCUGCAUGCUUCUGCAAAAGGCACUGGCAUGCUAAGUAUCAAGUUUUGCUUGCUGUUCUGACUGAUCAACAUCUCAUGUCGUUUCAGUUGGCGAAACAAAAGCUGAAGUGUGUUCUUAACACUUCCUAGCAUGAAGUCAGACAAGUGAACCCGCUGAACUUAAGCAUAUGGAUCCCCCCA
rnacentral:rRNA from 1 species